rnacentral:lncRNA from 1 species
GUUUCCACUAAAUCAUACUAAAUAGAUAAAAGGAUAAACUUCAAAUACCACCUCUGUGAUUUUGCAUUUUUUCACUUUAAUACCAUAUGAUUUAAAGUGUAUCAAGUUAAUCUUAUGUGGUUUUAUUUUUAUCUUUUCGUCAGUUUCUCUGUUAAUAUUUUGUUAAAAAUAUAUAUAAAAAACUUCUGAUAUCCCAUAUAGGUUUAUUGAGUAUUCACUUCAGUAUUCUUUAAUUUUAAAUUUGUCACUGAUUUAAUAAAAAAAAUAGUAGAAUCGAUAAUAAAAAAAUAAAAAUGAAACCACAGAGCACUAAAUUAAUACACUUUAAACUACAGGGUACUAAAGUGAGAAAGUGUGAAACUAUAUGAGUGGUAUUUGAAGUUUUUCCUGGGUAAAAAUAUAUAGAACUUAUCCGAAAAAUGAAUUAUUUUGAUUAUACUAUCCGAUCUUUCAACAAAAUUAAUUUACUACGCAAUCUUUAAAUUUAUUUGAUUUGAGUCAGUUGGUGACACUUUAAUUUCAAAAUUUAAGCUAAUUUCUUAUUAUAAUUAAUUUAUAGUUAUGAGAAUUGUAUAAAAUAUAAAAUAUAAUAAUUAAAUCUGUAAAUAUUAACGACAUAAUCAAAUUUUGAAGUCAAAGUGCUGUUAACUCACUCAAAUCAAACAAAUUUAAAGGCACGAUUCAAAAUGGUCUAUAGUUCAGAUAAGUUCUAUACAUUUUUACCUAUUAAAUAACUUACAAAUUUUAUAAUAUUUAGCUCUUUUUUUUAAGAGAGAGAAAAAUAGCGUGCUACCUGCUUCGUUUAUUUUUUUUAAUAAAUAAACUUAGUUAGAAAUAUAAAGCAACUAGAUUUUGAACUUGAAAUCUCAGAUACCAAUCAUUAAGUUUUUUCUAACCUGCACUAGGGACGGUCG